rnacentral:rRNA from 1 species
UACGAAGGGUGCAAGCGUUAAUCGGAAUUACUGGGCGUAAAGGGUGCGUAGGCGGUUCGUUAAGUCUGUCGUGAAAUCCCCGGGCUCAACCUGGGAAUUGCGUUGGAGACUGCAAGGCUGGAGUCUGGCAGAGGGGGGUAGAAUUCCACGUGUAGCAGUGAAAUGCGUAGAGAUGUGGAGGAACACCGAUGGCGAAGGCAGCCCCCUGGGUCAAGACUGACGCUCAUGCACGAAAGCGUGGGGAGCAAACAGG